ACACCCCAAACUUCUAAGGUUGACCUCGGAUCAGAUAAGCGGAGGAAAAGAAACCAACAGGGAUUGCCCCAGUAACGGCGAGUGAAGCGGCAACAGCUCAAAUUUGAAAUCUGGCCUCGGCCCGAGUUGUAAUUUGCAGAGGAUGUUUCUGGCGCGGUGCCUUCUGAGUUCCCUGGAACGGGACGCCAUAGAGGGUGAGAGCCCCGUACGGUUGGACGCCUAGCCUGUGUGAAACUCCUUCGACGAGUCGAGUAGUUUGGGAAUGCUGCUCAAAAUGGGAGGUAUAUCUCUUCUAAAGCUAAAUACCGGCCAGAGACCGAUAGCGCACAAGUAGAGUGAUCGAAAGAUGAAAAGCACCUUGAAAAGGGGGUUAAACAGCACGUGAAAUUGUUGAAAGGGAAGCGCCCAUGACCAGACUUGUGCCCGGCGGAUCACCCAGCGUUCUCGCUGGGGCACUCCGCCGGGUCCAGGCCAGCAUCGGUUUUCGCCGGGGGAUAAAGGCUCUGGGAACGUAGCUCCUCCGGGAGUGUUAUAGCCCUCUGCGUAAUACCCUGGCGGGGACCGAGGUACGCGCUCCGCAAGGAUGCUGGCGUAAUGGUCAUCAGCGACCCGUCUUGAAACACGG
rfam:Phaeomoniella chlamydospora PC4_TCR_scaffold_v01_544, whole genome shotgun sequence.